GGCGGGCGCACGGUGCGAAGCCCGGGGGCGGUGCGGGUGCGGUCGCGGACAACCACAGCGCGCCCGGCGCCGGGGCGGUGGCCCCGCAGCCCAGGGUGGAGGCGGAGGCGCCCACCAGCCACCGUCUAGGCCGUCGUGCGAGCAGCUGAGAUGGCGUGGUGGCGGUAGCAGCUCCAGGCUGGCGCAGUGGCGGCAGUGCCAUGCGGGGCCGCCGCGCGGGGGCAGGUAGUCCCAGCUACCAGCGCGCCAGCCCCCGAGCUUGUCAACCGACCAGUAGCGGCCGGGCGGCGGCCCGAGGCGCUCCGCAUACGGGUAGGGGAAGUCGGCGAACCACCAGGGCUCCAGGCCACCGAGCGACGCUCCGCCCAGGCUCUCCGAAUCCUCGGAGUCCGAAGGCGAAGGCUCGAGGUCCAGGCCCCUGCCUCCUCGCUCCCUUUCUUACCCUGGAGAAGGCCAGUAGGAAAUCCAUGCGGUGGGUGGGCCCCAGACAGUGCCGCAGUCGCCAGUACACAAGGUGUUCCCAGGCGAAGACCAGCAAGGAGAGGCCCAUGGCCACGAGGAGCAUGUAGAAGACACCUGCCAUGUUGUCGAUAUCCAGCUUGCUGCUCAUCACCUCGAUUUUGUCGUUGUGGCAGAUCCCUGAAAGCCACAGCCGCUCCAGCAUCUCAAUCUCAUCUGAGGAUGAGGUCAGAGUCACUUAUUAGGAGCACGCUCUCCUCAGAUACAGAAUCCAGGCCCCAGACCCUUCCAAUCUUGAAAACCCUCCUCCCCAGGACCGAGGGCCAGCCCUCCCCUCUUCCAGAGUAGGACUUCAUGCCCAGCCUAGCCGCACCGUCCCCCAGGAACUGCAGCAGCGCCAGGUCGAUGGGCCUCUUCCAGCGGGAGCCCUUGUGUAGGGCGAUGCCAUAACCAGUGGUGGCGAAGACCUUGCCUGAGCCGAUGGUGACCAGCUUGCAGCCCUCAUCCUUUCGGGCCAUGUAGUUGAGCACUGCUGCGUCAUAGAUGAAGGCGUCCAGUUUCCUGAGGACAGGGGCAUGAAAGACAGGGUCAGUCUCAUUUAGAUGGCCUCACAGCCCUCCAGGAACACCUUUCACCCAGAACCUGCAACUGCCCAGGAUCGCCUGAGCAGAUAUUCCCUGUGCCUCUUUCCAACAUUGGGAAAAGAAGCAUUAUUGUAAAUGCCACCAAGCCCAAGUUUUUGCAGAAGUGAUAGUGCCUGGUGGGAAGGCGGUGCUGCAGAAAUGACAGCCAUUGUAACUGUCACGGGAAAAGGCUCUUAAUCCUCAUUGUAUCUUUCCAAAGAAGAUACUGGUUUGGUUUGUUCCUCUCUGUAGUCUUGGCUGUCCUGGAACUCACUCUGUAAACCACUCUGGCCUGGAAUUUAUAGAGAUCCACCUGUCUCUGCCUCCCAAGUGCUGGAAUUAAAGGCCUGCACCACCACUACCCAGUGGGUUGUGUUUUUAAUGGCAAACUCACUUUUAAAAGGUCCUAGGGACUGAGGAUGUAGCUCAGUGGCGGUAACAUGAGAGUUCACAGUCACUUAUAAUUCUGACUUCUGCAGUUACCUGCACCCAUGUGACACACUCACAUAGAUACAUACAUUAAAACAUUUUUUUUGUUUGUUUUUCGAGACAGGGUUUCUCUGUGUAGCCCUGGCUGUCCUGGAACUCACUUUGUAGACCAGGCUGGCCUUGAACUCAGAAAUCUGCCUGCCUCUGCCUCCCGAGUGCUGGGAUUAAAGGUAUGUGCCACCACGCCCGGCUCUAAAACAUAUUUUUAAAAGGCCUUUCAUUGUAUUAAUUGAACCCAGCCCCUGUAUAUGCUAGGCCAUCACUCAGACUGAGCCAGGCCCUGAGACCUCACUGGAGUGCUAGGCAGGCUCCCUACAGCCCAUGGUCGCGCAGUAGAAAGAGGUGUGACACUUAGCAGGGAAUGACAGAGUCAGUACUUAUAUUUGAGCUGUAUUGCGCUGCUUACCGUUCUGUCAGACACUGAUUCAUUUAACCCUCACAAGGUAGUUGUAGUACUGAAAACUUUGUAUCUGUUUUUCUUUCCAGAGGGAAGAUCGGGAAGUCAAGUCAUCCCCAAGUGUGGGGAGCACUACCGACCUUCCCCCCUAAUCUCAGCUUCUGGAGACUGCCAGCCCCAGGGAACUGGCACCUGCUUGUUCUCAUUCCCAGCCCGGCCAUGGCACACACAGAAUAAGUUGUGUGAAUGAGGCCGGGUGGUGGUGCCACCCACCUUUAGUUCCAGCACUUGAGAGGCAGAGGUUUCUCUUUGUUUAGGAAAAUGCCCUUGAGGGCAAAAGAGUGAAUUGCUCUCCACAUAUAAGUGGAAAUAAUUUGGUGUCUUCUCGGAGGAAUGCGUGGGAUGGACUCAAGGAGCAUUUCAGAGAGAGCUACAAGGCAACACUUCCAAGAUGGAAAGAGUGGAGGAGUCUCAGGGUCUCAGGAGGUGGAAUCAGACGGCACCGACUUUCUAGUCUUUCAUCCUAAUGGAACCAAGAGCCUGGAGCUAAACAUUUUCCACCACUGGGCUGCGUGUCAAGCCUAGCUUUUUUGUUGUUGUUGUUUUUUGGUUUGGGUUUUGUUUUUUUUUUUUUUUUUUUUUUUUUGGUUUUUUGAGACAGGGUUUCUCUGUGUAGCCCUGGCUGUCCUGGCACUCACUUUCUAGACCAGGCUGGCCUUGAACUCAGAAAUCCGCCUACCUCUGCCUCCCGAGUGCUGGGAUUAAAGGCGUGUACCCACUACCGCUCCGCUUUUUGAGAUCUAUUUUUUUAUUGCUAUAUGUGUAUGAGUGCAUUGCCUGCAUGUCUGUACAGCACAUACAUGCAGUUGCUGUAGAGGAUCCUCUACAGGAUCUCCUGGAACCGGCGUAACCGGUGGUUCUAAACCACUGUGUGGGUGCUGGCAACAGAACCUGGGCCUUGUGCAAGGACAGAUGCUCUAACAGCAGGCCGGCUCCCCACACACCCCAGCACUCAUUGUAACUAUCUGCUCAGUUCUGUGACCUAAUGCCUGCUUCCCUCCUUCAGCUACUUACUAUCUGGAACUUCUCCCUCCUAAAUCCUUACUUAAAUUCAAUCUUGGGCUGGAGAUGUAGCUCAGUAGGUAGGGAGGGCUGCCUAAAACUGUGCUGGGAGGGGCUGGGAUCACAACUCAGUGGUAGAGCACUUAAGUCAAGUGGGGGUGGGUUCUCAGACUUCAAAAGCCCAGGCCAGCCCCACUGCCCCCCCCCCCCCGCCUGUGAAUCAGGACCUAAGAGCUCAGCUACUGCUCUGGUGGCAUACCCAUGUGCUUCCUGUCAUGAUUAUCAUGGACUAACUCUCUAAAACUGUCAGCAGCAACCCCCACCCGCCCCCAAUUAAAUGCUUUCUUUUUUAAGAA